UGACAGAUAUGUUAUGGGGCCAAAUUCCUAUAUGUUCCUUUUGAAUUGACCAAUCAAUUUUUAUGAAGUUUUUAUGGAAUUAUUCGAACAUUUGAAGAAUUGUUCAAACAUCUUGGGGGUAGUUGGAUAGGCUGAAAUAUAUUUGCCUAAAGUUCUUACAAAACUGUUUUUGUUUACAGCUGGACACAACAAUGAUGAGUGUAUGUACCGGAUAUUUGCUGGAUAAUUUUGUCAUUACAACUGCAUAACCUUACUUGCAGAACAAUCUCGAUCAAGCUGAUUGCUACAUGUAUUUAUAAGUAAUACCACGAAAAAGUUAAAUGGGCCGAAUCGAGUGUGCUCUUUGAUAGCUAAUACAACAAAAUUUCAUGGUAUUAUUUUGUAGAUUUGUUGUUCGUCUGGUUAUGCAUCUUCAGUAUAAAGAUGGGCACAAGAUCAUCUUUUAAAAAGGUUUUGUGGCCAUCUUUAUAUCGAAGACACAGAACCAGGAAAGCUUAUUGAUCUGAUAAUUCUUCUUUAUACUACCCGAUUAUAAAAGAUGCAUGAUGGCUCCAGACGCAAUCAGAGGCCACUGUUUUUUUCAACUAUAAUAACACAACCAUGUUUUAAAUAUAACAAAAUAACUUUUUAAUUGUCGCCACUUGAUUUUGAUUAUUGUAGUUCGUCGACUAUUUAUAGAAAGGUUCAUAUUCGACUUUCACUACCAUUACCACUACCGUUAAUGACUGCUAACCAAUCAGAUGUGUAUUAAGUCUAAGCCAGUGAAGGUAGUGGUAUUGGAAGUCAAAUGUGAACCUCCCUAAGAAUAUAAUACCUAUAGGUACUGUUACUACUGUACAACAAUGCAAUAAAUGUCACUGCUUUGUCAACUAUAUAACAAAACGAUAUUUUAUACUAUAGCGAAAUAACUUUUAAAUGUCACCACAUUUCUAGGAAAGUUUUUAAAGAGUUUCAGAUAUGACUUGCACUGCCACUGCCUUUAUAAGGAGCCAUAAACCAAUCAAAUGUGUACUACGCCAGUGAAGAGGUAGUACAGUAGUAAGUCAGGUAUUGGAAGUCAAAUCUGAACCUCUCUAAUUAUAUAACAAGUACUGACACUAUUACUGCUGAAGGACAGUGCGAUAAAAUGUCAUUGUUUUGUUAACUAUAACAGAACGAUAAGGACGGGUUUUACACUAUCAAAGUUUCCGUGAUCACAGUAGGAAUUUUGCAUAGCUGAAUUCUAAGUUUUUGAAGCAUUUGUAAGAAAUGUUUGACGAAACUGGGUCAGUGAUAAACACUAACGCCCGUAUUCUAAAAGCUCACUCACACUCAAUGAGCGGAGGUUGAAUCCGGAAUAGCUGGAUGGUUAGUAGUCACGUAGUAAGGUACGACACUAACCCUCCAGGGAUUCAAAAACAGCAUUGACACUCGAGAGAAGCUCAGAUUGAAUGUCCACUCUGAGUGUGAGUGAGCUUUUAGAAUACGGGCGUUAGUCCGUAACGUUUCUAAAAUUCCCUGAAACAUUUCUAACAAAUCCUUCUAAUUCAAAAUCAAAUCUCAGAAACUUUGAUAGUGUAAAUCAGCCUAUAUUCCAACAAUAACAAAAUAACUUUUAAUUGCGAACACAUUUUAGUAUAGUUUCUUUGUGAAUAACAAAGUUCGGUUCCCAUUUGUGCUG